GGGUCCGGUGGGCCGCCGGGCUCCUCAAGAACCGGGAACAGAACUACCCGCCCACCCACCCUCCCGGCCGUGUCACCCGUCCGGGUGACCGGCUUGCCGGGGCGGGAUUUGGGCCGUUACGUUCGCUGGGACAACCACAAACAGAGACGGCCCCCGGCCGGGACGGCAAUCCCGAUCGAGGGCCUGACCGAUCAGGAAGUAGCCCCUUCCCG
rnacentral:ncRNA from 1 species